rnacentral:misc_RNA from 1 species
AAGACUAUAGACCUGCGGAGUACCUGCGGAGGGAUCAUUACCGAGUUUACAACUCCCAAACCCCAUGUGAACAUACCUGUUUCGUUCCCUCGGCGGUGUCCGGCAACGGCCCGCCAGAGGACCCAACAAACUCUUUUGAAUUUUUCAGUAUCUUCUGAGUGAAAAAAACAAUAAAUCAAAACUUUUAACAACGGAUCUCU